GCAUGGAUAGCUCAGUUGUUCAGAGUGUGGUGCUGAUAGUGCCAAGGUUGCCAGUUCGAUUCCCGCAUGGGACAGCUGCA